rnacentral:rRNA from 1 species
GACGAACGCUGGCGGCGUGCUUAACACAUGCAAGUCGAACGGAAAGGCCUUUUCGGAGGUACUCGAGUGGCGAACGGGUGAGUAACACGUGGGUGAUCUGCCCUGCACUCUGGGAUAAGCCUGGGAAACUGGGUCUAAUACCGGAUAGGACCGCACUUUAGUGUGUGUGGUGGAAAGUUUUUUCGGUGUAGGAUGAGCCCGCGGCCUAUCAGCUUGUUGGUGGGGUAAUGGCCUACCAAGGCGGCGACGGGUAGCCGGACUGAGAGGUUGGUCGGCCACAUUGGGACGGAGAUACGGCCCAGACUCCUAGGGGAGGCAGCGGGGGGGAAUAUUGCAAAAUGGGCGCAAGCCUGAUGCAGGGACGCCGGGGGGGGGAUGACGGCCUUCGGGUUGUAAACUCCUUUCGCCGGGGACAAAGCGUUUUGUGACGGUACCUGGAGAAAAAGCCCCGGCUAACCACGU